rnacentral:ncRNA from 14 species
ACCAAUGAUGACGGAUCAACCGGCUGAUCGAAUGAUGACGUCCGCAUCACCUGAGG